rnacentral:pre_miRNA from 1 species
ACUGCACCAUGCUCUAUCCAUCAUCUCGAAUUGAGUGAGUUGGCAAGAACUUUGGGACG